rnacentral:rRNA from 1 species
AACGGCCAUACCAUGCUGAAUAUACCGGUUCUCGUUAGAUCACCGAAGUCAAGCAUCAUUGGGCUUGGUCAGUACUUGGGUGGGUGACCACCUGGGAACACCGCGUGCCGUU